CCGGAUAUGAUUUUAGUUCGCACAUGCUUGAAAUGGAAAGGUGGCUUUUAGCUACCACUUUAUCGACAGAGAUCCGCGGCGCAUUAGCUAGUUGGUGAGGUAACGGCUCACCAAGGCGACGAUGCGUAGCCGACCUGAGAGGGUGAUCGGCCACACUGGGACUGAGACACGGCCCAGACUCCUACGGGAGGCAGCAGUAGGGAAUCUUCCGCAAUGGACGAAAGUCUGACGGAGCAACGCCGCGUGAGUGAUGAAGGUUUUCGGAUCGUAAAGCUCUGUUGUUAGAUGCGAACAAGUACCGUUCGAAUAGGGCGGUACCUUGACGGUACCUAACCAGAAAGCCACGGCUAACUACGUGCCAGCAGCCGCGGUAAUACGUAGGUGGCAAGCGUUGUCCGGAAUUAUUGGGCGUAAAGCGCGCGCAGGCGGUUUCUUAAGUCUGAUGUGAAAGCCCACGGCUCAACCGUGGAGGGUCAUUGGAAACUGGGAGACUUGAGUGCAGAAGAGGAGAGUGGAAUUCCACGUGUAGCGGUGAAAUGCGUAGAUAUGUGGAGGAACACCAGUGGCGAAGGCGACUCUCUGGUCUGUAACUGACGCUGAGGCGCGAAAGCGUGGGGAGCGAACAGGAUUAGAUACCCUGGUAGUCCACGCCGUAAACGAUGAGUGCUAAGUGUUAGAGGGUUUCCGCCCUUUAGUGCUGCAGCAAACGCAUUAAGCACUCCGCCUGGGGAGUACGGCCGCAAGGCUGAAACUCAAAGGAAUUGACGGGGGCCCGCACAAGCGGGGCUACAUGUGGUUUAAUUCGAAGCAACGCGAAGAACCUUACCAGGUCUUGACAUCCUUCGCUACCUCUAGAGAUAGAGGGUUCCCCUUCGGGGGACGAAGUGACAGGUGGUGCAUGGUUGUCGUCAGCUCGUGUCGUGAGAUGUUGGGUUAAGUCCCGCAACGAGCGCAACCCUUGACCUUAGUUGCCAGCAUUCAGUUGGGCACUCUAAGGUGACUGCCGGUGACAAACCGGAGGAAGGAUGCUGCUGACGUCAAAUCAUCAUGCCCUUAUGACCUGGGCUACACACGUGCUACAAUGGAUAGAACAAAGGGCAGCAAAGUCGCGAGGCUAAGCCAAUCCCAUAAAUCUAUUCUCAGUUCGGAUUGUAGGCUGCAACUCGCCUACAUGAAGCCGGAAUCGCUAGUAAUCGCGGAUCAGCAUGCCGCGGUGAAUACGUUCCCGGGCCUUGUACAAAUCGUCCGUCACACCACGAGAGUUUGUAACACCAAUGCGUCGGUGGGGUAACCUUUUGAAGCU
rnacentral:rRNA from 1 species